UUGAGAGCUUGGACUUUUAUUUUCGUUGGCAUUAAAUGGCAUUGCAAGACAUCAACAAAAGUUUGGUACGAUGCUUGCAAUUUUGCAUGCAAUUUCUGAUCAUCAGUUUUACCAUUGAUACGUGUUCCUCCAGAAGGCCCUAUAGAAGGCUCCAUUUUUCAGUAAAUCUUCACUUUUACUUGAAUAGUACGAAGUGCGAGAUAUUGAUCUUAGUUCAGGCAUUGCUUCAACUUGAUGGGCGGCUCCACCUUAGUCUUCCUGUCUAUAGGAUUCUCAAUAGUCUUAAUCUUUUGAAGAAGUUCCUUAUCAAUAACUUCCCACACAAAGUGAAAACUUAUGUUGUACGUGCGUAAUAGAUUGGGUUCUUUGCUUAGUAAAUGACAUUUUGUCGUGGAUUUUGAUACUAUUCAAGUCAAGGUGGAGGUUUGUUGAAAAAUGACGUCUUGAAUAGUGUUUUCGAGGAACAUCAAUUAAUGGUAAAAAUUGUAUCGAUCAUUAAAUGCCACAUAAAAAUGAAAUUAUAAGUUUUCACGCUAUUUUGGUAGUUGUGAGAUUUGAUUACUAUGAUUUUGUCCAUUUUUGUUGGCACUCCAACCCAUAAAUAGAGCUCUCUGUUUUGAGAGAUAUUAUCCACAAAUUUGAAUUGUAAUCUAAAGGAACCUCUUAAGAGAGUUUUUUGUAAGAGUUGCUUUUGAAUGAAAUUUGAGAGUUCUCCUUAGUGAGAGAGAGGUUAGGGUCUAUUGUGGUUUGAGUUCUAAAUUUGUCUCCAACAUUUGUGCAAUUCCCAUAGUCCCCUUUUUUAGUAAAAUUCUCUUCCUCUUACUUUGCUCUUGGAUGCCUGCUAAAAAGCCAAACCACAUAAAUUAUUGUGUUAUUCUUGCACUUGUUUUGCCAUUUUUAUUUCUCUACAAUUGAUGUUACAAAAAUACUAUGAUUAUUCAACUCAACUU
rnacentral:lncRNA from 1 species